UACGUAGGGCGCAAGCGUUAUCCGGAAUUAUUGGGCGUAAAGAGCUCGUAGGCGGUUUGUCGCGUCUGCUGUGAAAGACCGGGGCUCAACUCCGGUUCUGCAGUGGGUACGGGCAGACUAGAGUGAUGUAGGGGAGACUGGAAUUCCUGGUGUAGCGGUGAAAUGCGUGGAUAUCUGGAGGAACACCGGUGGCGAAGGCGGCAUCCUGGACCGACACUGACACUGAGGAGCGAAAGCCAGGGGAGCAAACGGG
rnacentral:rRNA from 1 species